UGGGGUAUGGUGUAAUUGGCAGCACGAGAGAUUCUGAUUCUCUUAGUCUUGGUUCGAGUCCAGGUACCCCAGCAA
rnacentral:tRNA from 1 species